AAUCCCGUGAACCAUCGAGUCUUUGAACGCAAGUUGCGCCCGAAGCCUUCGGGCCGAGGGCACGCCUGCCUGGGCGUCACGCAUCGCGUCGCCCCCUCGCCCUCCCGCCCCCGGGGCGGCGGAGACUGGCCUCCCGUGCGCUCCCGCCGCGCGGCCGGCCC
rnacentral:rRNA from 1 species